rnacentral:rRNA from 1 species
CUACGGGAUGCAGCAGUAAGGAAUAUUGGGCAAUGGACGCAAGUCUGACCCAGCCAUGCCGCGUGAAGGAUGAAGGUCCUCUGGAUUGUAAACUUCUUUUAUCUGGGGCGAAAAACACCUUUUCUAAGGUGCUUGACAGUACCAGAGGAAUAAGCACCGGCUAACUCCGUGCCAGCAGCCGCGGUAAUACGGAGGGUGCAAGCGUUAUCCGGAUUCACUGGGUUUAAAGGGUGCGUAGGCGGGCAGGUAAGUCAGUGGUGAAAUCCCCGAGCUUAACUCGGGAACUGCCGUUGAUACUAUCUGUCUUGAAUACCGUGGAGGUGAGCGGAAUAUGUCAUGUAGCGGUGAAAUGCUUAGAUAUGACAUAGAACACCAAUUGCGAAGGCAGCUCGCUACACGGUCAUUGACGCUGAGGCACGAAAGCGUGGGGAUCAAACAGGAUUAGAUACCCGCGUAGUC